UUACGACCUCAACUCAAGCAAGGCUACCCGCUGAACUUAAGCAUAUCAGUAACGCGAGACAAGCAC
rnacentral:rRNA from 1 species